GAUGAACGCUAGCGGCAGGCCUAAUACAUGCAAGUCGAACGGUGUCUUCGGACAUAGUGGCGCACGGGUGCGUAACACGUAUGCAACCUACCUUACAUUGGGGGAUAGCCUUUCGAAAGGGAGAUUAAUACCGCAUAAGACAGUAACUAGGCAUCUAGUAGCUGUUAAAGAUUUAUCGAUGUAAGCUGGGCAUGCGUCCAAUUAGUUAGUUGGCGAGGUAAUGGCUCACCAAGACGAUGAUUGGUAGGGGAACUGAGAGGUCAAUCCCCCACACUGGAACUGAGAUACGGGCCAGACUCCUACGGGAGGCAGCAGUAGGGAAUAUUGGGCAAUGGGCGCAAGCCUGACCCAGCCAUGCCGCGUGCAGGAAGAAGGCGUUCUGCGUUGUAAACUGCUUUUAUAUAGGAAGAAACGACCCUUGCGAGGGGCAUUGACGGUACCGUAUGAAUAAGCACCGGCUAACUCCGUGCCAGCCGCCGCCGUAAGAC
rnacentral:rRNA from 1 species